rnacentral:rRNA from 1 species
GAUGAACGCUGGCGGCGUGCUUAACACAUGCAAGUCGAACGGAAAGGCCUCUGCUUGCAGGGGUACUCGAGUGGCGAACGGGUGAGUAACACGUGGGUGAUCUGCCCUGCACUUCGGGAUAAGCCUGGGAAACUGGGUCUAAUACCGGAUAGGACAAUGGUUUGGAUGCUGUUGUGGAAAGUUUUUCGGUGUGGGAUGAGCUCGCGGCCUAUCAGCUUGUUGGUGGGGUAAUGGCCUACCAAGGCGUCGACGGGUAGCCGGCCUGAGAGGGUGUACGGCCACAUUGGGACUGAGAUACGGCCCAGACUCCUACGGGAGGCAGCAGUGGGGAAUAUUGCACAAUGGGCGCAAGCCUGAGGCAGCGACGCCGCGUGGGGGAUGACGGCCUUCGGGUUGUAAACUCCUUUCGCUAGGGACGAAGCGUUUUUGUGACGGUACCUGGAGAAGAAGCACCGGCUAACUACGUG